CAAUCCAUGAGUAAAGUGGCGACCGGGUGAGUAACACGUGACUAACCUACCUUCGAGUGGGGAAUAACCUCGGGAAACCGGGGCUAAUACCGCAUAAUGUCUUCGGACCAAAGGAGCAAUUCGCUUGAAGAGGGGGUCGCGGCCGAUUAGCUAGUUGGCGGGGUAAUGGCCCACCAAGGCGAUGAUCGGUAGCCGGCCUGAGAGGGCGCACGGCCACACUGGAACUGAAACACGGUCCAG
rnacentral:rRNA from 1 species